rnacentral:lncRNA from 1 species
ACGACCUCCCCCACAUGCUUGAUGAGCAUUUGGCUAGCUCCUAGGCCCGCCGACGAAGAAGAAGAAGAGGAGGCUACGGCCUCCCCCAUAUGCUUGACGCGUGCUCGACUGGCCCCGAGGCCCACCGACGAAGAAGAAGAAGAAAAAGCUAUGGCCUGUCCCGUGCACCUGAUGCGCAGUCGAUCGAUCUCGAGGCCCACUGAUGAAG